GCGUACACGGUGGAUGCCCUGGCAGUCAGAGGCGAUGAAGGACGUGCUAAUCUGCGAUAAGCGUCGGUAAGGUGAUAUGAACCGUUAUAACCGGCGAUUUCCGAAUGGGGAAACCCAGUGUGUUUCGACACACUAUCAUUAACUGAAUCCAUAGGUUAAUGAGGCGAACCGGGGGAACUGAAACAUCUAAGUACCCCGAGGAAAAGAAAUCAACCGAGAUUCCCCCAGUAGCGGCGAGCGAACGGGGAGGAGCCCAGAGCCUGAAUCAGUGUGUGUGUUAGUGGAAGCGUCUGGAAAGGCGCGCGAUACAGGGUGACAGCCCCGUACACAAAAAUGCACAUGCUGUGAGCUCGAUGAGUAGGGCGGGACACGUGGUAUCCUGUCUGAAUAUGGGGGGACCAUCCUCCAAGGCUAAAUACUCCUGACUGACCGAUAGUGAACCAGUACCGUGAGGGAAAGGCGAAAAGAACCCCGGCGAGGGGAGUGAAAAAGAACCUGAAACCGUGUACGUACAAGCAGUGGGAGCACGCUUAGGCGUGUGACUGCGUACCUUUUGUAUAAUGGGUCAGCGACUUAUAUUCUGUAGCAAGGUUAACCGAAUAGGGGAGCCGAAGGGAAACCGAGUCUUAACUGGGCGUUAAGUUGCAGGGUAUAGACCCGAAACCCGGUGAUCUAGCCAUGGGCAGGUUGAAGGUUGGGUAACACUAACUGGAGGACCGAACCGACUAAUGUUGAAAAAUUAGCGGAUGACUUGUGGCUGGGGGUGAAAGGCCAAUCAAACCGGGAGAUAGCUGGUUCUCCCCGAAAGCUAUUUAGGUAGCGCCUCGUGAAUUCAUCUCCGGGGGUAGAGCACUGUUUCGGCAAGGGGGUCAUCCCGACUUACCAACCCGAUGCAAACUGCGAAUACCGGAGAAUGUUAUCACGGGAGACACACGGCGGGUGCUAACGUCCGUCGUGAAGAGGGAAACAACCCAGACCGCCAGCUAAGGUCCCAAAGUCAUGGUUAAGUGGGAAACGAUGUGGGAAGGCCCAGACAGCCAGGAUGUUGGCUUAGAAGCAGCCAUCAUUUAAAGAAAGCGUAAUAGCUCACUGGUCGAGUCGGCCUGCGCGGAAGAUGUAACGGGGCUAAACCAUG
rnacentral:rRNA from 1 species